rnacentral:rRNA from 1 species
GGUAGGCUACAGACUAUAAUGCAAGUCGAGCGAACAGAUAAGGAGCUUGCUCCUUUGACGUUAGCGGCGGACGGGUGAGUAACACGUGGGUAACCUACCUAUAAGACUGGGAUAACUUCGGGAAACCGGAGCUAAUACCGGAUAACAUUUGGAACCGCAUGGUUCUAAAGUGAAAGAUGGUUUUGCUAUCACUUAUAGAUGGACCCGCGCCGUAUUAGCUAGUUGGUAAGGUAACGGCUUACCAAGGCGACGAUACGUAGCCGACCUGAGAGGGUGAUCGGCCACACUGGAACUGAGACACGGUCCAGACUCCUACGGGAGGCAGCAGUAGGGAAUCUUCCGCAAUGGGCGAAAGCCUGACGGAGCAACGCCGCGUGAGUGAUGAAGGGUUUCGGCUCGUAAAACUCUGUUAUUAGGGAAGAACAAAUGUGUAAGUAACUGUGCACGUCUUGACGGUACCUAAUCAGAAAGCCACGGCUAACUACGUGCCAGCAGCCGCGGUAAUACGUAGGUGGCAAGCGUUAUCCGGAAUUAUUGGGCGUAAAGCGCGCGUAGGCGGUUUCUUAAGUCUGAUGUGAAAGCCCACGGCUCAACCGUGGAGGGUCAUUGGAAACUGGGAAACUUGAGUGCAGAAGAGGAAAGUGGAAUUCCAUGUGUAGCGGUGAAAUGCGCAGAGAUAUGGAGGAACACCAGUGGCGAAGGCGACUUUCUGGUCUGUAACUGACGCUGAUGUGCGAAAGCGUGGGGAUCAAACAGGAUUAGAUACCCUGGUAGUCCACGCCGUAAACGAUGAGUGCUAAGUGUUAGGGGGUUUCCGCCCCUUAGUGCUGCAGCUAACGCAUUAAGCACUCCGCCUGGGGAGUACGACCGCAAGGUUGAAACUCAAAGGAAUUGACGGGGACCCGCACAAGCGGUGGAGCAUGUGGUUUAAUUCGAAGCAACGCGAAGAACCUUACCAAAUCUUGACAUCCUUUGAAAACUCUAGAGAUAGAGCUUUCCCCUUCGGGGGACAAAGUGACAGGUGGUGCAUGGUUGUCGUCAGCUCGUGUCGUGAGAUGUUGGGUUAAGUCCCGCAACGAGCGCAACCCUUAAGCUUAGUUGCCAUCAUUAAGUUGGGCACUCUAGGUUGACUGCCGGUGACAAACCGGAGGAAGGUGGGGAUGACGUCAAAUCAUCAUGCCCCUUAUGAUUUGGGCUACACACGUGCUACAAUGGACAAUACAAAGGGCAGCUAAACCGCGAGGUCAUGCAAAUCCCAUAAAGUUGUUCUCAGUUCGGAUUGUAGUCUGCAACUCGACUACAUGAAGCUGGAAUCGCUAGUAAUCGUAGAUCAGCAUGCUACGGUGAAUACGUUCCCGGGUCUUGUACACACCGCCCGUCACACCACGAGAGUUUGUAACACCCGAAGCCGGUGGAGUAACCAUUUAUGGAGCUAGCCGUCGUAUAGAGUUUUGCGGG